AUACUUACCUGGCGGGGGGGGUGCUUUGACCAUGAGCUUGGUUCCCCUGGGUGAUGUUCUUCCAUUCCACUUAGGUUGGAUUGACCCCUGUGAUUUCCCCAAAUGUAGGAGAUGUAUUAUUUAUGAUUGCUGGAAAAGCUCACCCAGACUCUGCCAC